UUCGCUCCGCCACAGGCCACCGUACCCGCCCGUCAAAGGUUUAGCCAAUCGCUGUGCUCCGCCUGCCGACUGCCCGCCCCUUCCCUCUCCGCUGGGAGGGGAGGGGGAGCCGCUCACCUUCUCCACGCCCCUAUUGGCGGGGAGCUUCCCUAACUCAACCCCGCCUAUUGGAGAUGAAUUGCUGAAUCCCACCCCCAAGCCGCAACACUAUUGGAGGAAGCAGGGAAGCUCUCCACGUCUCAUUGGAGAACUCCAUAUAUCCCGCCCCGUGCUGCCUCAGCCACAGGUCCAACAACUAGGCUCCCGCCCUCGCCGGUCAUCGCAUUGGAAGGCUACUCCUCGCUCUCCGGCUGCCCCAGGAAGAGACUGAAGCGCAGAGUUCCAGGGCCCGAAACAGGAGGUGGUGCGGAGCUAAGCAGCGGGAAUCCGAUGCCUUGGGAUUUGAAAGGGAGAGGCAGCAGCAGUGCCACCGUGGAGGAUCCCCUUACAAAAAUAAAGAGAAAGAGAACCUCA